GACGAACGCUGGCGGCGUGCCUAAUACAUGCAAGUUGAGCGCUGAAGGUUGGUACUUGUCCCAACUGGAUGAGCAGCGAACGGGUGAGUAACGCGUGGGGAAUCUGCCUUUGAGCGGGGGACAACAUUUGGAAACGAAUGCUAAUACCGCAUAAAAACUUUAAACACAAGUUUUAAGUUUGAAAGAUGCAAUUGCAUCACUCAAAGAUGAUCCCGCGUUGUAUUAGCUAGUUGGUGAGGUAAAGGCUCACCAAGGCGAUGAUACAUAGCCGACCUGAGAGGGUGAUCGGCCACAUUGGGACUGAGACACGGCCCAGACUCCUACGGGAGGCAGCAGUAGGGAAUCUUCGGCAAUGGACGAAAGUCUGACCGAGCAACGCCGCGUGAGUGAAGAAGGUUUUCGGAUCGUAAAACUCUGUUGGUAGAGAGGAACGUUGGUGAGAGUGGAAAGCUCAUCAAGUGACGGUAACUACACAGAAAGGGACGGCUAACUACGUG
rnacentral:rRNA from 1 species